rnacentral:lncRNA from 1 species
AUGUCCUCAUCAGCCCUGGCAGGCUCGCCACCACAGCCCCAGACUUCGACGCCAGUUCAUAAACAGCCCAGAGGGUGCUGCUGGAAGCCCGGAGGAGGGGGCUGUGCCGGGAAUCAGGCUUCUCCACCUCCCGCACCUCAGAAAACAGGAUGCUCCCCCACCUCAAUUUUCUUCUGGAGGCUUACCUUCCCACCAGGCUCACAAAGCUAUGAGGGAGCCCCCUAUAGGGUUUUCCUCUGCCCGUGUGGUGGGAUCUGCCAGAAUAUUGUCUUUGAUGACUUUGCCUUUCUCAGGACAGCCCCUCGGCCUCAUGAUUCAAAAUUGGGAGAGUGGAUAAACAGAGACGAGACGGAAAGAAAGGAGGAGAGAACAAGAGACAGGGUCUCGUGGGCUGACACUGUCGAGAGUUUCAUGACAGGAGAAAUGGAAAGUGAGGGGUCAAGAGAACGAGAUGUUCCAGAGCUAAUGAAAUUCCUAGUUUUGUCGCUAAGAAGCCACAUGACUGAAGACGGUCUUUGAAGCUGUCCCUGAGUUUACAGCUAUGAGAACAUGGCAGCCCAGAAAGCCAGGAGUGGAGAUUGAUCUUGCGGG